rnacentral:rRNA from 1 species
GAUGAACGCUAGCGGCAGGCUUAACACAUGCAAGUCGAGGGGUAACAUAAGUGCUUGCACUUGAUGACGACCGGCGCACGGGUGCGUAACGCGUAUAGAACCUACCUUAUAGUAAGGGAUAGCCCAGAGAAAUUUGGAUUAAUACCUUAUAGUAUUAUUGAUUGGCAUCGAUUAAUAAUUAAAGAUUUAUUGCUAUAAGAUGGCUAUGCGUUCUAUUAGCUAGUUGGUAUGGUAACGGCAUACCAAGGCUACGAUAGAUAGGGGUCCUGAGAGGGAGAUCCCCCACACUGGUACUGAGACACGGACCAGACUCCUACGGGAGGCAGCAGUGAGGAAUAUUGGACAAUGGAGGCAACUCUGAUCCAGCCAUGCCGCGUGUAGGAAGACUGCCCUAUGGGUUGUAAACUACUUUUAUA